UAACUAUAACGGUCCUAAGGUAGCGAAAUUCCUUGUCGGGUAAGUUCCGACCCGCACGAAAGGCGUAAUGAUUUGGGCACUGUCUCAACGAGAGACUCGGUGAAAUUAUAAUACCCGUGAAGAUGCGGGUUACCCGCGACAGGACGGAAAGACCCCAUGGAGCUUUACUGUAGCUUGAUAUUGAGUUUUUGUGUGACAUGUACAGGAUAGGUAGGAGCCGUUGAUUUCGGAACGCUAGUUUCGAAGGAGGCAUUGGUGGGAUACUACCCUUGUUAUAUGAAAACUCUAACCUACAUCACUUAGCGUGGUGAGGGACAGUGUCUGGUGGGCAGUUUGACUGGGGCGGUCGCCUCCUAAAAUGUAACGGAGGCGCUCAAAGGUUCGCUCAGAAUGGUUGGAAAUCAUUCGUAGAAUGUAAAGGCAUAAG
rnacentral:rRNA from 1 species